CGGAAUGCUUUACACAUGCAAGUCGAACGGCAGCACGGACUUCGGUCUGGUGGCGAGUGGCGAACGGGUGAGUAACAUAUCGGAACGUAUCCAAUAAUGGGGGAUAACUAAUCGAAAGGUUGGCUAAUACCGCAUACGCCCUGAGGGGGAAAGCUAGGGAUCUUCGGACCUGGCGUUAAUGGAGCGGCCGAUAUCUGAUUAGCUAGUUGGUGAGGUAAAGGCUCACCAAGGCGACGAUCAGUAGCUGGUCUGAGAGGACGACCAGCCACACUGGAACUGAGACACGGUCCAGACUCCUACGGGAGGCAGCAGUGGGGAAUUUUGGACAAUGGGCGCAAGCCUGAUCCAGCCAUUCCGCGUGAGUGAAGAAGGCCUUCGGGUUGUAAAGCUCUUUCGCAAGGGAAGAAAACUUAUCCUCUAACAUAGGAUGAGGUUGACGGUACCUUGAUAAGAAGCGCCGGCUAACUACGUGCCAGCAGCCGCGGUAAUACGUAGGGUGCGAGCGUUAAUCGGAAUUACUGGGCGUAAAGCGUGCGCAGGCUGUUUUGUAAGUCAGAUGU
rnacentral:rRNA from 1 species